AAGGUUUUAGCUUAAAUAAAGCACCUGUUUUGCAUACAGGGGAUGUAAGUGAAGUCUUGUGGACCUUA
rnacentral:tRNA from 1 species